GGCUCAGGAUGAACGCUAGCGGCAGGCUUAACACAUGCAAGUCGAGGGGUAGAAGCAGCUUGCUGCUUUGAGACCGGCGCACGGGUGCGUAACGCGUAUGCAAUCUACCUUUUACAGAGGGAUAGCCCAGAGAAAUUUGGAUUAAUACCUCAUAGUAUGUGAGAAUCGCAUGGUUUUCACAUUAAAGUUCCAACGGUAAAAGAUGAGCAUGCGUCCCAUUAGCUAGUUGGUGAGGUAAUGGCUCACCAAGGCUAUGACGCCUAACUGGUUUGAGAGGAUGAUCAGUCACACUGGAACUGAGACACGGUCCAGACUCCUACGGGAGGCAGCAGUGGGGAAUAUUGCACAAUGGACGAAAGUCUGAUGCAGCAACGCCGCGUGGAGGAUGACACAUUUCGGUGCGUAAACUCCUUUUAUAUAGGAAGAUAAUGACGGUACUAUAUGAAUAAGCACCGGCUAACUCCGUG
rnacentral:rRNA from 1 species